UACGUAGGGUGCGAGCGUUAAUCGGAAUUACUGGGCGUAAAGCGUGCGCAGGCGGAUCGUUAAGCCAGACGUGAAAUCCCCGGGCUUAACCUGGGAAUGGCGUUUGGGACUGGCGAUCUAGAGUGAGGCAGAGGGAACUGGAAUUCCAGGUGUAGCAGUGAAAUGCGUAGAUAUCUGGAGGAACACCGAUGGCGAAGGCAGGUUCCUGGGCCAUCACCGACGCUCAUGCACGAAAGCGUGGGGAGCAAACGGG
rnacentral:rRNA from 1 species